rnacentral:rRNA from 1 species
CAGACCUCUAAUCGGAAAAACUACCCG